AUUGAACGCUGGCGGCAGGCCUAACACAUGCAAGCCGAACGGUAGCACAGAGAGCUUGCUCUCGGGUGACGAGUGGCGGACGGGUGAGUAACGUCUGGGAAACUGCCCGAUGGAGGGGGAUAACUACUGGAAACGGUAGCUAAUACCGCAUAACGUCGCAAGACCAAAGUGGGGGACCUUCGGGCCUCACACCAUCGGAUGUGCCCAGAUGGGAUUAGCUAGUAGGUGGGGUAAUGGCUCACCUAGGCGACGAUCCCUAGCUGGUCUGAGAGGAUGACCGGCCACACUGGAACUGAGACACGGUCCAGACUCCUACGGGAGGCAGCAGUGGGGAAUAUUGCACAAUGGGCGCAAGCCUGAUGCAGCCAUGCCGCGUGUAUGAAGAAGGCCUUCGGGUUGUAAAGUACUUUCAGCGGGGAGGAAGGCGGUGAAGUUAAUAGCUUCACCGAUUGACGUUACCCGCAGGAGAAGCACCGGCUAACUCCGUGCCAGCCGCCGCAGUAA
rnacentral:rRNA from 1 species